UUCCCCUACGGGGGGCAGCAGUGAGGAAUAUUGGUCAAUGGGCGAGAGCCUGAACCAGCCAAGUCGCGUGAGGGAAGACGGUCCUAUGGAUUGUAAACCUCUUUUGCCGGGGAGCAAAAAGCGGUACGUGUACCGCAUCGAGAGUACCCGGAGAAAAAGCAUCGGCUAACUCCGUGCCAGCAGCCGCGGUAAUACGGAGGAUGCGAGCGUUAUCCGGAUUUAUUGGGUUUAAAGGGUGCGCAGGCGGAAUGUCAAGUCAGCGGUAAAAUUUCGGGGCUCAACCCCGUCGUGCCGUUGAAACUGGG
rnacentral:rRNA from 1 species